GAACGGCCAAGUAAGUACUAAACUUGAACACAUACAGCUGCUGUCUACUCUCAAGACGGAGGUCCCACUCGAACUUUCUUGCCUUUCUGCCUUCAUCCAUCAUGCUCUCAGGGGAAUACCAGUCCAACUGUAGAAACUUUUGGUUAUAUUCUGAUACAGUCAUACCACCUUGGACCAGGUGUGCAAACUUAAUUUACUUCAGAUAUCGGAGAUGCUCUGAGAGGUACUGUACAUUGAAGG
rnacentral:lncRNA from 1 species